AAAUGUGAUAUAGGGAGCCAAAGACGAGCUGAAGCAAAACCCUAGAAAGAGAGGAAGAGGAAGGGGGAGGUGAUGAGAGAGAUCCAAAGAUAAAAGGGUUCUUGUUAUUAUUAGGAAUAGUUUAUUUCAUUAUUUAAUUUUUGGGAUUUUUGAGGGAAUGGGGUGUAUGGAUUACAGAGAGCACUGCUAAGGGUUUCGCGCUUUGCUUUUCAGCUCAAUGAGCAAAGCACAAAGGCACGUGUAUAGGGUGCUGCAAUG
rnacentral:misc_RNA from 1 species